rnacentral:rRNA from 1 species
AUUGAACGCUAGCGGGAUGCCUUACACAUGCAAGUCGAACGGAGUGGCGAACGGGUGAGUAAUGUAUCGGAACGUGCCCAGUAUCGGGGGAUAACUUCGCGAAAGCGUAGCGAAUCCAGCAUCCGUUUGGAGCGGCCGAUAGCGGAUUAGCUAGUUGGUGGGGUAACGGCUCACCAAGGCGACGAUCCAUAGCUGGUUGGAGAGGACGACCAGCCAGACUGGAACUGAGACACGGCCCAGACUCCUACGGGAGGCAGCAGUGGGGAAUUUUGGACAAUGGGGGAAACCCUGACCCAGCCACGCCGCGUGUGCGAUGAAGGCCUUCGGGUUGUAAAGCACUUUGGGUAGGAAAGCGGUACCUGAAGAGUAAGCAACGGCUAACUACGUGCCAGCAGCCGCGGUAAUAC